rnacentral:rRNA from 1 species
UACGAAGGGGGCUAGCGUUGCUCGGAAUCACUGGGCGUAAAGCGCACGUAGGCGGCUUGUUAAGUCAGGGGUGAAAUCCUGGAGCUCAACUCCAGAACUGCCUUUGAUACUGGCGAGCUUGAGUCCGGGAGAGGUGAGUGGAACUGCGAGUGUAGGGGUGAAAUUCGUAGAUAUUCGCAAGAACACCAGUGGCGAAGGCGGCUCACUGGCCCGGUACUGACGCUGAGGCACGAAAGCGUGGGGAGCAAACAGG